UGCUGGGGGGAUUAGUGGCGAACGGGUGAGUAACACGUGAGUAACCUGCCCUUGACUCUGGGAUAAGCCUGGGAAACCGGGUCUAAUACUGGAUACGACCUUCUGGCGCAUGCCAUGUUGGUGGAAAGCUUUUGUGGUUUUGGAUGGACUCGCGGCCUAUCAGCUUGUUGGUGGGGUAAUGGCCUACCAAGGCGACGACGGGUAGCCGGCCUGAGAGGGUGACCGGCCACACUGGGACUGAGACACGGCCCAGACUCCUACGGGAGGCAGCAGUGGGGAAUAUUGCACAAUGGGCGCAAGCCUGAUGCAGCGACGCCGCGUGAGGGAUGAAGGCCUUCGGGUUGUAAACCUCUUUCAGUAGGGAAGAAGCCGCUCCUUUGGGGGUGGUGACGGUACCUGCAGAAGAAGCGCCGGCUAACUACGUGCCAGCAGCCGCGGUAAUACGUAGGGCGCAAGCGUUAUCCGGAAUUAUUGGGCGUAAAGAGCUCGUAGGCGGUUUGUCGCGUCUGCCGUGAAAGUCCGGGGCUUAACUCCGGAUCUGCGGUGGGUACGGGCAGACUAGAGUGCAGUAGGGGAGACUGGAAUUCCUGGUGUAGCGGUGAAAUGCGCAGAUAUCAGGAGGAACACCGAUGGCGAAGGCAGGUCUCUGGGCUGUAACUGACGCUGAGGAGCGAAAGCAUGGGGAGCGAACAGGAUUAGAUACCCUGGUAGUCCAUGCCGUAAACGUUGGGCACUAGGUGUGGGGGACAUUCCACGUUUUCCGCGCCGU
rnacentral:rRNA from 1 species